AAACAGAAAAUGAAGAACUGUAACGGAAAAGGAAUAAAAGAAUUGCAAGCUAAUAAAUGAGAGCAGUACUAUCUACAAUAUACAUUUUCACUUAGUGGCCCCCCACUUACACUUGCAUGUGCACGAAAUAAAAUCAUUGCAUGCCAAAUACAUAUUUCUGUUCAGCCAUUACAGUACCAUUGCCAAUAAAUUCCAACACCUAUCCCUUGAUCACCCUUGGCCGCUCGACGUGUCCCAGCCUUUUACUCUAUUAUUCUUUUUUAUAUUUUCUGACCUCAGUCUCUGCAUUCCCAUCAGCUCACUUCUUCUCUCAGACCCCCCUCUCCCCUACUCACUCCUUACUCACCCCUGCUGUGUCUAUUUCCAGAACAAUAAACCACCACUCCCUACAUCCUCAUCUAAACUUUACAUCAUCCUCCCAA
rnacentral:lncRNA from 1 species